rnacentral:rRNA from 1 species
CAGUCGAGCGGGGUAGCAAUACCUAGCGGCGAACGGGUGAGGAAUGCUUGGGAAUCUGCCUGGUAGUGGGGGAUAACGUUCCGAAAGGAACGCUAAUACCGCAUACGUCCUACGGGAGAAAGGGGGGGAUCUUCGGACCUCUCGCUAUCAGAUGAGCCCAAGCGGGAUUAGCUAGUUGGUGGGGUAAAGGCCCACCAAGGCGACGAUCCCUAGCUGGUCUGAGAGGAUGAUCAGCCACACUGGAACUGAGACACGGUCCAGACUCCUACGGGAGGCAGCAGUGGGGAAUAUUGGACAAUGGGGGAAACCCUGAUCCAGCCAUGCCGCGUGUGUGAAGAAGGCCUUCGGGUUGUAAAGCACUUUAAGCGAGGAGGAAGGUUCGUUACUUAAUACGUAACGGAAUUGACGUUACUCGCAGAAUAAGCACCGGCUAACUCUGUGCCAGCAGCCGCGGUAAUACAGAGGGUGCAAGCGUUAAUCGGAAUUACUGGGCGUAAAGCGCGCGUAGGCGGUUGUGUAAGUUGGAUGUGAAAUCCCCGGGCUUAACCUGGGCACUGCAUUCAAAACUGCACGGCUAGAGUAUGGGAGAGGAAGGUAGAAUUCCAGGUGUAGCGGUGAAAUGCGUAGAGAUCUGGAGGAAUACCGAUGGCGAAGGCAGCCUUCUGGCCUAAUACUGACGCUGAGGUGCGAAAGCAUGGGGAGCAAACAGGAUUAGAUACCCUGGUAGUCCAUGCCGUAAACGAUGUCGACUAGGUGUUGGGGAACUUGAUUCCUUAGUGCCGCAGCUAACGCAUUAAGUCGACCGCCUGGGGAGUACGGCCGCAAGGUUAAAACUCAAAUGAAUUGACGGGGGCCCGCACAAGCGGUGGAGCAUGUGGUUUAAUUCGAUGCAACGCGAAGAACCUUACCUACUCUUGACAUCCAGAGAAUCCUGUAGAGAUACGGGAGUGCCUUCGGGAAUUCUGAGACAGGUGCU